CAAUUAUUGGAUGGCUGCUUUGGGGGAAUGGCUCCAGGAAACCAGCAAGAAGAUGGGAGCGGAGCUCUUCCUCGUGGCGUGUCAAGCUCUGUUGUCCUGUAAUGCCCCUUCAUCAGACCUAAUCUCCUCUUGGGAGACAAGCCAGGCCUCUGACCUCAGGAGAGCUCUAAAGUACUUACGGUAAAAGAAAAUCCAUUACUUAGCUGAAGAAUUUCACCUUCUGUUCUAUUUUUUUUCCCUGCAUUUUCUUCAAGAAUUCUAAUUUC